GUUCGGAAACGGACGCUAAUACCGCAUACGUCCUACGGGAGAAAGCAGGGGACCUUCGGGCCUUGCGCUAUCAGAUGAGCCUAGGUCGGAUUAGCUAGUUGGUGAGGUAAUGGCCCACCAAGGCUACGAUCCGUAACUGGUCUGAGAGGAUGAUCAGUCACACUGGAACUGAGACACGGUCCAGACUCCUACGGGAGGCAGCAGUGGGGAAUAUUGGACAAUGGGCGAAAGCCUGAUCCAGCCAUGCCGCGUGUGUGAAGAAGGUCUUCGGAUUGUAAAGCACUUGAGUUGGGAGGAAGGGCAUUACCUAAUACGUUAG
rnacentral:rRNA from 1 species